UCGAGAAUCUUUCGCAAUGGGGGAAACCCUGACGACGCGACGCCGCGUGGAGGAUGAAGGCCUUCGGGUUGUAAACUCCUGUCCGCUGGGGAGAACAAGCUGUCGAUGAAUAAUUGCUGGCUUUGACAGUACCAGCAGAGGAAGCCACGGCUAACUCUGUGCCAGCAGCCGCGGUAAUACAGAGGUGGCAAGCGUUGUUCGGAUUUAUUGGGCGUAAAGGGUCCGUAGGCGGUCUGAAAAGUUGGAUGUGAAAUCCCACGGCUUAACGUGGGAACUGCAUUCAAAACUUUCAGGCUAGAGUGUGAUAGGGGUAAAGGGAAUUUCCGGUGUAAGGGUGAAAUCUGCAGAGAUCGGGAGGAACACCAGUCGCGAAGGCGCUUUACUGGAGCACUACUGACGCUGAGGGACGAAAGCCAGGGGAGCAAACG
rnacentral:rRNA from 1 species